GUCUGUUUGAUAUAAAAAACAGUCUGGCCUGCCCACUGAUUGAUUUUAAAGGCCGCGGUAUAAUGACCGUGCGAAGGUAGCAUAAUAAUUAGUCUUUUAAUUGAAGACUGGAAUGAAAGGUCGGACAAAAAGUAAUCUGUCUCUAUUUUAGAAAUUGAAUUUAACUUUUAAGUGAAAAGGCUUAAAUAAUCUUAAAGGACGACAAGACCCUAUAAAACUUUAUAAACUAAAAAUAAAUUCACAAUUUAUAUUUUUAACGAAAAUUAUUUUUAUUUUUAUUUCGUUGGGGCGACGAGAGUAUAAUCACCUAACUGCUCUUAAUUCAUACAACCAUGCUUGAGCUCUAUGACCCUUUUUUUAAGAUCAAAAGAAAAAGUUACUUUAGGGAUAACAGCGUAAUUUUUUUUAAGAGUCCUUAUCGACAAAAAAGUUUGCGACCUCGAUGUUGAAUUAAAAAUCCACCGUAGUGCAGCAAUUACGGAGGGAGGUCUGUUCGACCUUUAAAAUUUUACAUGAUUUGAGUUCAAACCGGUGUAAG
rnacentral:rRNA from 1 species